UCUUCUCUCUUCUCUUUCUUCUUUCUUCUUACUUCUUACUUCUUCUUCUUUCUUUCCCCGUCUCUUCUGUCUCUCUUCUUCUUCUUGAAAAAUAGCAACCUGUAAAGUUCUUCUCUCUGCUCUCUUCCCAGAAUCUGAAUCAAACUCGGCCUUGGAUCUCUCUUUUACUUCAAAGGUUGCAGAUCCGAGGUUGCUUCUUGCUUCACCACAAUCACUCUUCCAUCACUGUGUGUGGUAUGGAGACCGGAGAGAUCCAUAACCAUGUGGGUCGAAAAGUUCUCAAAAGGAGAAAACAUAAGAAGAAGGGAUCGGUGAUGUACUGGUGACUGGUUUGUGGCCCAAUGUCAAACUCGGUUACAAGCCCAACCGUACCGAACCGACCGAUUAAAUCGGUAUACCGACUUCUCGGUAUACCGGAUUUUGUGGCCGGUAGUGGUAUAGUUUUUUGCAUACCAGUAUAAGUUGGUACGGUACAUGGUAUCGGCCCGUAAGCUUCGAAUGGCAAGACCAAGAUUCAACCAAUUGAGCGAUUUUGAAGAGGAACCAAGCAAGGAAGUUGGGCAUAGCAUGAGGAAAAGAAUUCUAGAGAGAAUCAUGACUCUUGAUGAAUCAAGCAAGGAAGUGAAGAUUGAAAUCCUGAACAUGAUAUCUAACUUCUAAUGUACUGUAAAGUAGGAUCUUGAUUUUAAAAGUAGGAAUUUAACUUAGAAAUUCCAAAAGUAGGGAUUGUACAUUCUCGUAUUGAACUUAUUUUUCAAUUAUGGUGAAAUGACAUGAUUUGGAUGAUA